rnacentral:rRNA from 1 species
UACGUAGGGUGCAAGCGUUGUCCGGAAUUAUUGGGCGUAAAGGGCUCGUAGGCGGUCCAUCACGUCGGGAGUGAAAAGCUGGGGCUUAACCCCAGUCCUGCUUCCGAUACGGGUGGACUAGAGGUAGGCAGGGGAGAACGGAAUUCCUGGUGUAGCGGUGAAAUGCGCAGAUAUCAGGAGGAACACCGGUGGCGAAGGCGGCAUCCUGGACCAUAACUGACGCUGAGGCGCGAAAGCUAGGGGAGCAAACGGG